rnacentral:lncRNA from 1 species
ACAGGGACCUGAAGGAGAAUAGAGUGCUGCAGGACACCUGGAAGGAGGAAGGUGCUCAAGGAGCUAUGGCCAUAACACCAGCAGAACCUCGGUAGGUGAGAAACUGCUUAACUAAUAGCUAUUGCAUUGCAGCAAAGGCAACGGCUACGGAGUUCUGAAACAACGCCUACUAGCAUCAGACAACGCUCACUAGCGGCCAUCGCUCACAAAGCAGCUACUAUGGCAGCAGGACCACAAGCCAUAGCAAUGGCUUCCGUAAGUAGCUAACGGCCGUUCCAUCCUAGUAAAGCAGCUACAACAGCACCGGAAGCCACGCUCGCUAGCAUCUUUCCCAAGCAGCUACAGCAGCAGCACCACAGAAUUCUAUGGUCUCCACUGCAACGACUCUUAUCUCAGGACUGUGGAAGAUGGAAUUAAGCCCCAGAAAUACUCGUUUCAGAGUAGCAGCCGUGUUACUGUUUCAGCCAUUUUGGGAAGUCCUAUCAAGAAACAGAGGAGAACCCACAACCAUCCUGUCAACCUAACAAGAUAAAACUGGCACACUUUGCUAAAGGAUACCAGCCAAAAAGGUGGGAUGAUGGUUUGAUGUCAAUUAAAUCAAA